AAACUCCUGGGCUCAAAUGAUCCUCCCACCUUGGCUUCCCAAGGCGCUGGGAUUACAGGUGAGCCAUUGUGCCAGCCUGAAUUUGUUUAUAUUGGAGUAUAGCACACAGGGUGGGAAAUGUCACGUUGAGGAAUGCCCCUCUGCCCAGAACGUCCAUUCCCAUCUUCCUAGGCUGGUUUGUGCAACUUUUUCUUCUCCUCGGAGCAUCUCGCUGCCAGCGGCCUCUGGCCGGCAGCUCCACGGCAGAGAAUUUCCUCUUUAUCCUGGAGACGCUUCUAUUCCUCUUCUGGUCACUCACUGCUUCCUCCUGGGGUGGAGAUGGCUCCCCUCGCAGGAAGACCUGGGCCACCAGGGGUCCCCUCGAGAUCCCUCCCAACCAGCUCCUGCUUGGGACAGGUUUCUCUUCUUGGAUUUGGAGACAGCGAUAGACGGGCCUCCUGCUCCAUUCUCCUGAGGAGCCGUUGGAGGCUUUGGCUCUGCUUCUUUCUGGGACUUUCCCCCAUUUCGCUAGCCCUGGCUGAGGACGCCAGAGCACACCAGCCCGGACCAGGUGUGAACAGGUGUGGCCAGGUGUGAACUCUCCCAGCACCUGUCUCCCUCCUCACAGCCCCCAGGCACCCCUGCUGUUCUCAGGAGACCUGAGGGUGCAGCCUAUGCAUUUUCCUUUUUUAAGUCCUGCUUCCCCUGGUUCUCGGCUUUUCCCAGUAAUCUCAGCGGCUGCUUCUGCCUCCCGAGCCAGUGGGCCCUUCGUGCUACUCUCUGUAUCCGUCUGAUCUCGGGUCUGUUGUCCGCACCCCUACUAGGGAGCACACUCCCAGAGAGCCAGGACCCUCCUGUCUCGUGGCCUCAGUGCCCGCAUGGAGCAGGGCUCCACAAACACCUGCUGACCCAGGAAAUGCAGGAAGCAGAACUUCGGGCUUCGGGGCACUGACAAGGCCUGCAGUCUGGAGUCAGGAGCCCGAGUGCGAAUCCUGGCUCAGCCUCACCCUCGCUGUGUGACCUUGGGCAAGUUAUGGCAUCUCUUUGAGCCUCUGCUUUCUCUGCUACAAGAGGGGGUGUAGCCCAAGCCCAGCGUGAUGGAGAAGGUGGAGCAAAGUCCUGUUGGAGCCGGCCCUCCUCAGCCCAGGUCCCCGUGGAAAAUGCUCGCUUAGUCGUCCGACAGAGCCCUCUGCGUCCUAGACACUAAGGAUGCCACCCUGCACAGAGACAAUCUCCAAGCCCACGUCGAGUCUUCCACGGGGGCAGAAAGGCAAACACAAUAAAUAAGCAAAAUGCGUAACAAGUUA